GUUUUUAUAGUUUAAAAUAAAACAUUGGUCUUGUAAACCAAAAAUAAAAUUUUCUUUUAAAAACU
rnacentral:tRNA from 1 species